UCCAAUUGCAAACUUCCUGUAUUGGAACUCUUCUGAUUGGUCAACAACAAAAAAUGUACAACAGCAGCUUGGGUUGUAAAUCAACAGUUUUUGGUGAACACUAAGAUACUAUGAAGUGGAGUGUAUGUUUCGGUGUGGCUGCUGCUCUCUUCGGAAUAUAUUAUCUCCAAAUCCUCAUGACUGUCACAUUGAGCUCCAUUCUUGCCAAACUAAGGGCAGCCUCUGUACUUGGUGUAUGCAUGCUGACAACAACCGUGACUUUAGACUUCUACAGAAAGGAUAUUGAUGAUACAAAAUUCUACACCUUGCGAAGCAAGAUUUACCAAUACAUCGCCAACAAUGCUCUUGCUCUAGUUGGACAGUAUCAACUAUGGAAAAUGGCCAGACGAUCUAAAGAUAUCAAAGCUGUACAAAAUGAAAUUCUUUUACAAAGGCUUCAAAGAAAUAAAGAUACAGAAUAUGGUGCCAAAUACAGAUUUUCUGAGAUAAAAACUAGAGAGGAUUUUGUGAAGAGUCACCCUCUAACAAGGAUAAAUCAUUAUGAGGAUUACAUAAAAAGAAUGAUGUCUGGAGAGGAAAAUAUCCUGACAUCCUCUCCCCCAAUCAUAUUUGCUGUCACCUCAGGAACCUCAGGGAAAAGCAGUAUAUUGCCAAUGAUCAAGGAACAAAGACUAUUAUUUUUCUUGCAAGGAGUAGCUAUAGCAUACACUAGUAUGGUCAAGACAUUUUCUGGUACAAAUUCGCUCAAGAAAAGUCUCAAACUUUUCUACACUCCUAAAUUGAGAGAAUCCCCCUCAGGAAUACCUAUUGGCCCAAACUCCUCGUCCCCAUCAAACUCCAAGUCUUUGUUGAGUCUAUACUCUACCCCAAGUGUUGGAUAUGAAAUUCUCAGUGAACCGGAGGCCUUAUAUGUCCAUUUACUGUUUGCUUUAAGGGAUCGGAAUAUCGGAAUCAUAGAAGCUAACUUUUCCUCCAUAGUGUACAACUCACUCCAGGCUCUGGAAUGUCAUUGGGAAAAUCUUGUGGAUGACAUUGAGAAAGGUCACAUUAAUACAUCUCUUAAUAUUGAUGAUAGCAUUAGAACUGAACUGGAGAAAUCGUUAAAACCAGACAAGAAAAGAGCAGAUGAGAUCAGGGCAUCGUUCAAAGAUGGCCGAAUCAGUUUGGUGAAAAGAUUAUGGCCAAAUUGUAAUGUUGUUUUAGGGACUGAUACGGGUACAUUUGCCCUCCAAGGAGAUAUGCUGAGGGAAACAUUCUGUAAAGGAGUACCCCUCUACUCUCCUCUGUAUGCAGCCUCUGAAGGACUUUUAGGGGUCAAUAUCUGGCCCCUUGAGAGACCUAGUCAUUACCUAAUGGCCCAACAGUCAAUGUUCUAUGAAUUCAUUCCUGUGGAGAAAAGUGGAGAAAAUCAACCAGAAACUUAUUUCAUGGAUCAGGUGGAGAAAGGAUGUGUGUAUGAACUAGUCAUCACUACAGCUUCAGGUCUGAUGAGGUACAGGUUUGGGGAUGUUGUCAAAGUUGUGGAUUUCUACAACCAGUGUCCUGUUAUAGAGUUUAUGUACAGACAGGGCCAGCUGUUGAACGUAAGAGGGGAGAAAACGUCAGAAGUAGCUUUUUUCCGAGCUCUGUCGGAGAGUGUGGCUCACUGGUCUGGGUCAAAACUGGUGGACUAUUGUUGUGCUGAGAGUGUGUUGAUGGAGGUGGAAGAGGAUCCUAAGGACAAAGAGAGCUAUGUGCCAUUUUACCAUGUAUUUGUAGAACUUGAACUAGAAAUGGAGGACUUUGUCUUGUCUGAUGAUCAAAAGGAUUUUGUUGACGAAUCUCUAUGUAAGCAGUCAUAUGUAUACCAGUCAUUUAGGAAGAAAGGUAGUAUUCGCCCAAUGAGGAUUCAUAUGGUCAGCCCUGGUACAUUCCAGGAACUAAGGGACUUCACUAUAGCAACUACAUCUGCCUCAUCCAAUCAGUACAAAGCUCCGCGUGUCCUAAAGAGGAAGGAUGCUCUGGAGAUGGUGAUGAAGAAUGUGGUUAAAUAGGGUUUUUAGCUCUCACAAGUGUCAGAACAGCUUUAGACUGAGUAAAUAUAGUACAGAAAAUGUAUGGUUUGUUUACAGAUUUUUUCAAUAUAUACAUUGUACAUGUACAUUCUCCAUAUAAUGAAAACCUCUAAUUUUGAGAAAUUCCAAAAUAUUUAGUAUAGAUUUAUUAAUGAUGUGUUUACAUAUAUUUAAACAUUUUUGAAACAUGCAUAAUUUAUUACUUAUAUGUAUACUAUUAAUUAUUAAUUCUCUGCUAAUUUAGCUGAAUCUACUGGUCUAGACUGCUUUUAUAGCUGUUACAGUUGUAGUGUUUCACUGAUGAAGUUAUAUUUUGUGAUAUGGAAUAUUUUUGUACGUUGAUAUUGGCGGGUGCUGUAGUGUUGCCACAGCCAAUUUGAUUAAUUGUGAUUCAUUUUGACUGAUUGGGCCAGAGCUGUUUGUUUUUGAAAUGAGGACAGACCAAGUGAGCUUUGUUGCUUUCAGGGUAAUGUAUCAAAAUCUGCAGGUCCAUCAAAAAAUUUUAAUGUGCCUGAAAUUGCAUUUAUAUUUCAAAAAUUUACUCGCAUUGAAUAACAUUGUUGCAUCCGUAAAAUCUUUCCUCAAAUGAUGACCAGAAUCGGUCACAUAACAUUCCUUCCUGGAAAAGUGACCAGAAUUUGUCACAUUACAAUCCUUACUCGAAUGGAGAACAGAAUUUGUCACAUUACAAUCCUUACUCAAAUGGUGA